GGCUGGCUCGUGCCGUCCACCGAACGGUCGGCAGGCGAUCCGCGUCGUUCUCGCGAGGUGGUAUGGUUCCCCAGAGGCCGGUUCUUGUGYUGCCUACCCCUUCAGGGGAAGAGUUCCAGACUUGAUGUAAGCCUCCAUCCGGCGCCCUCCAAAGGGCGCGGGAGGACAGMGGAGCACCCCCCGCGUUCCACCGAGCCUCCUCGGUCGCGUGGCCCGCGGGGACGUGCGAUGCUCUCGGACCCAGCGAACGCCGUGGGCGAGGACUCACGUCCCGGUCCCAAGAGAAGCUCCGAUAUAAUGCUGACGUCCGCUCCCGCCCCCCSACCSCCCCGGSSGGNGSGGGGGCAMGGCCGGCSUCCCGGARGRAUGSUWCCU
rnacentral:misc_RNA from 1 species